AAUCAACGCUGGCGGCGUGCCUCAGACAUGCAAGUCGAACGCGAAAUUUCCCUUCGGGGAGAAAGUAGAGUGGCGCACGGGUGAGUAACACGUAGGUAAUUUGCCUUUGGGUGGGGAAUAACUCAGGGAAACUUGAGCUAAUACCGCAUAAUGCAGCGGCUCGACAUCGAGACAGUUGUUAAAGCGGGGGAUUGGAGCAAUCCGACCUCGCGCCUAAAGAGAAGCCUGCGGCAGAUUAGCUAGUUGGUAAGGUAAUGGCUUACCAAGGCGACGAUCUGUAACCGGCCUGAGAGGGCGGUCGGUCGCACCUGACACUGGACAUACGGGUCAGACUCCUACGGGAGCAGCAGUCGGGAAUUUUGGGCAAUGGGCGCAAGCCUGACCCAGCAACGCCGCGUGAAGGAUG
rnacentral:rRNA from 1 species